rnacentral:tRNA from 1 species
GGGGGUAUAGCUCAGUGGUAGGGUGCGUGCUUAGCAUGCAUGAGGUCCUGGGUUCAAUCCCCAGUACCUCCA